UGUGUCCAGACUGAGGACUGAAGACUCUGGUCUGUAUCUGUGUUACGUGAAAACUGAAGAUGGAUUCAACUCUGGAAGAUGUCGACUCAACGUUACUGCUGCUGAUCAGAUCCAAACUCAGAGCCCAACUUUGACUCCAGAACCAGACAGACGAGGAAGGAACAUCGUCUUCAUCAGUCUAGGAUCAAUAGUAGCUCUGAUCGUUCUAAUAAUAUUGAUUAUUUGUUUUAGGAAGAGGAGAAAGACAAUGAAAACUAAUCACUUGACAAGAGUAGAUUAAAAAAAACAAACAGAUAACAAUGUUGUUCACUUUACAAUUGUUUAAAAUUAAUUUUGCCCUCACAAAAAUAUCAGAUUUGUUUCAAUCUAUUCUAAUGCUUAACAUGUUAGAUUAUCAUGACUUAAUUUAUUCGCUUAAUUAAUAGUGGAGAAAUAUUUUUAUCUCCAUGGCAACCAUUGAGCUGUGAAAAAUGCUUACUCACACUAAGUGCCUCCUAUUUUUCCAAAGAUUCUCCUCAGAGCUGCAGUUUCCAAGCUUCCAGCACACAGAGCAUCCCUCCACUCCCCAUCUCAGCUCCUUCAGACUAGCCAGCAGCAAUUAGCAAACACCUGUUGGAACUGCACAUCUGUUGAACUCAUUAUAUGAGCUACUUUUCAGUGCAACACUCCUAAGACCUGCUAUAAAUGGCAUAAUGAAGGCGCAUUGUUGUGAUGACAUGCUGAAGGCAGAGUGUCAGAAGGAGUAGGGACUUUUAAAGAGACAGAGGCCCAAUUUCAAGGUUUUAAAAUGCAAAGUCAAAUUUAUUUUAAGUCAUGUCAGCAUUUUCAUAACUGAAGACAACAUAGUUACUUGAUUGUGCUAUAAAAUGUCACUAUGUGCCUGGAGAAUAUAUGAUAAUGUAUAUUCUCCAUAUUGCAAUAAUGAUGACAUUGAGUCAUUUAUGAUAUUGUUUCAGUUCCUGUUUUAAAUAAUUUAUAAAAUUAUUUAAACCAGAACCAUUGAUCAGUUAUUGUGUCAAAAUGCCGAAUCAGCUGAUUGUUACUGAAACCAAAGAUAUUUAUCUGAUGCACAACUUAUGUUUACAUUCAUAUCUUUUAAAUACUCUUUUGUUGAAUUAUGUAGAUAUAAAAAUGUCCAAUUUAUUAUUUUCACAGGUAUAUUUAAACAAAUAUUUUUAUUAAUAUGUCGUGAAACAGAACACAUUAAGACUUUUAAGAGGUUGUUAUAAAAAUCAAUAUUUCCCUAAUUUCAGGUGAAAUCAAAUAAUUAAUUUUAAAGUGACAAUUUCUAUACAUUUCAUCAAUUUCAGAGAUGAACAUAAAACAUUAUGACAUAAAAGUCUUUUGCUUUUCUUUAACAUACAUUUUACCUUCACUGCUAGUUUGUUGUUUCUUUGUUGAAAAGUUAUAAACGUAAAUGUUUCAUUAUAGAAUUGUUAUUACUUUCAAAGUUUUCUCUUUAAACUUAAUGUUUCAACUCAAAACUUCUGAUGAGUUUAUAUUUUUGAUAAGCUGCAUUUCUGGUGUGUAGCUGUGAAUGGUUGUGGUUUCACACCACAUAAUGUGUGUGAAUGUGUUACAAUAAGCUGCUAAACUGAAUUUGUCUUUUGGAAUAAAUAAAAUAUUGUGAAGUUCAGAAUCUGAAGCUCUUAAUAAAACAUUUAUUUUUCUUCCA